AUUGAACGCUGGCGGCAUGCCUUACACAUGCAAGUCGAACGGUAACAGGUCCUCGGAUGCUGACGAGUGGCGAACGGGUGAGUAAUACAUCGGAACGUGCCUAGUAGUGGGGGAUAACUACUCGAAAGAGUGGCUAAUACCGCAUGAGAUCUACGGAUGAAAGCAGGGGAUCGCAAGACCUUGUGCUACUAGAGCGGCCGAUGGCAGAUUAGGUAGUUGGUGGGAUAAAAGCUUACCAAGCCGACGAUCUGUAGCUGGUCUGAGAGGACGAUCAGCCACACUGGGACUGAGACACGGCCCAGACUCCUACGGGAGGCAGCAGUGGGGGAUUCUGGACAAUGGGCGAAAGCCUGAUCCAGCAAUGCCGCGUGCAGGAUGAAGGCCUUCGGGUUGUAAACUGCUUUUGUACGGAACGAAAAGCCCCGGGUUAAUACCCUGGGGUCAUGACGGUACCGUAAGAAUAAGCACCGGCUAACUACGUGCCAGCCGCCGCGGUAA
rnacentral:rRNA from 1 species